CAACCUCAACUCAUAUGGGACUACCCCCUGAACCUUUAGCGUAUUAAUUAGGGGAGGAAAAGAAACUAACAAGGA
rnacentral:ncRNA from 1 species